rnacentral:rRNA from 1 species
UACGUAGGGGGCUAGCGUUGUCCGUAAUCAUUGGGCGUAAAGCGCGUGUAGGCGGUCCGGUAAGUCCGCUGUGAAAGUCGGGGGCUCAACCCUCGGAUGCCGGUGGAUACUGUCGGGCUUGAGUACGGAAGAGGCGAGUGGAAUUCCUGGUGUAGCGGUGAAAUGCGCAGAUAUCAGGAGGAACACCAAUUGCGAAGGCAGCUCGCUGGGACGUUACUGACGCUGAGACGCGAAAGCGUGGGGAGCAAACAGG